UACGUAGGGUGCAAGCGUUGUCCGGAAUUAUUGGGCGUAAAGAGCUCGUAGGCGGUUUGUCGCGUCUGCUGUGAAAACUCGGGGCUUAACCCUGGGCCUGCAGUGGGUACGGGCAGGCUGGAGUUCGGUAGGGGAGACUGGAAUUCCUGGUGUAGCGGUGAAAUGCGCAGAUAUCAGGAGGAACACCGGUGGCGAAGGCGGGUCUCUGGGCCGAUACUGACGCUGAGGAGCGAAAGCGUGGGGAGCGAACAGG
rnacentral:rRNA from 1 species